UAUUGGGCGUAAAGGGUGCGUAGAUGGCAUAAUAAGUUAUUGGUGGGAAAUCGAGGCUCAACCUCGUGGAAGCUGGUAAUACUGUUGUGCUUGAGUGCAGGAGAGGUUAACGGAACUCCAUGUGGAGCGGUAAAAUGCGUAGAUAUAUGGAUGAACAUCAAUAACGGCGAAGGCAGUUAACUAUUCUGUUACUGACAUUGAGGCACGAAAGCGUGGGGAGCAAAACGGAUUAGAUACCCGUGUAGUCCACGCCCUAAACGAUGAGUACUAGAUAUUGGGAACUUGAUUCUCAGUGUCGCUAGGUAACCCAGUAAGUACUCCGCCUGGGUAGUACGCUCGCAAGAGUGAAACUCAAAGGAAUUGACGGGGACUCGCACAAGCAGUGGAGCAUGUGGUUUAAUCCGAUACAACGCGUAGAACCUUACCAAGGCUUGACAUGUUUGGCAAAACUGUGGAAACACAGCGGAGGUUAUCCAAACACAGGUGCUGCAUGGCCGUCGUCAGUUCGUGCCGUGAGGUGUAUGGUUAAGUCCUAUAACGAACGCAACCCUUGGGCUUAGUUGCCAGCAUUCAGUUGGGGACUCUAGGCCGAACUGCCUGAGUAAUCAGGAGGAAGGAAAGGAUGA
rnacentral:rRNA from 1 species